GAAGAGUUAUCUUUUCUGU
rnacentral:siRNA from 1 species